rnacentral:rRNA from 1 species
GGGGGCCCGCACAAGCGGUGGAGCAUGUGGUUUAAUUCGAUGCAACGCGAAGAACCUUACCUGGUCUUGACAUCCACAGAACUUUCCAGAGAUGGAUUGGUGCCUUCGGGAACUGUGAGACAGGUGCUGCAUGGCUGUCGUCAGCUCGUGUUGUGAAAUGUUGGGUUAAGUCCCGCAACGAGCGCAACCCUUAUCCUUUGUUGCCAGCGGUCCGGCCGGGAACUCAAAGGAGACUGCCAGUGAUAAACUGGAGGAAGGUGGGGAUGACGUCAAGUCAUCAUGGCCCUUACGACCAGGGCUACACACGUGCUACAAUGGCGCAUACAAAGAGAAGCGACCUCGCGAGAGCAAGCGGACCUCAUAAAGUGCGUCGUAGUCCGGAUUGGAGUCUGCAACUCGACUCCAUGAAGUCGGAAUCGCUAGUAAUCGUGGAUCAGAAUGCCACGGUGAAUACGUUCCCGGGCCUUGUACACACCGCCCGUCACACCAUGGGAGUGGGUUGCAAAAGAAGUAGGUAGCUUAACCUUCGGGAGGGCGCUUACCACUUUGUGAUUCAUGACUGGGGUGAAGUCGUAACAAGGUAACCGUAGGGGAACCUGCGGUUGGAUCACCUCCUUACCUUAAAGAAGC